GACGAACGCUGGCGGUGCGCCUAACACAUGCAAGUCGAACGAGCGAGAGAGAGCUUGCUUUCUCAAGCGAGUGGCGAACGGGUGAGUAACGCGUGAGGAACCUGCCUCAAAGAGGGGGACAACAGUUGGAAACGACUGCUAAUACCGCAUAAGCCCACAGGUCGGCACCGACCAGGGGGAAAAGGAGCAAUCCGCUUUGAGAUGGCCUCGCGUCCGAUUAGCUAGUUGGUGAGGUAAUGGCCCACCAAGGCAACGAUCGGUAGCCGGACUGAGAGGUUGAACGGCCACAUUGGGACUGAGACACGGCCCAGACUCCUACGGGAGGCAGCAGUGGGGAAUAUUGCACAAUGGGGGAAACCCUGAUGCAGCGACGCCGCGUGGAGGAAGAAGGUCUUCGGAUUGUAAACUCCUGUUGUUGAGGAAGAUAAUGACGGUACUCAACAAGGAAGUGACGGCUAACUACGUGCCAGCAGCCGCGGUAAAACGUAGGUCACAAGCGUUGUCCGGAAUUACUGGGUGUAAAGGGAGCGCAGGCGGGAAGACAAGUUGGAAGUGAAAUCUAUGGGCUCAACCCAUAAACUGCUUUCAAAACUGUUUUUCUUGAGUAGUGCAGAGGUAGGCGGAAUUCCCGGUGUAGCGGUGGAAUGCGUAGAUAUCGGGAGGAACACCAGUGGCGAAGGCGGCCUACUGGGCACCAACUGACGCUGAGGCUCGAAAGUGUGGGUAGCAAACAGGAUUAGAUACCCUGGUAGUCCACACCGUAAACGAUGAUUACUAGGUGUUGGAGGAUUGACCCCUUCAGUGCCGCAGUUAACACAAUAAGUAAUCCACCUGGGGAGUACGACCGCAAGGUUGAAACUCAAAGGAAUUGACGGGGGCCCGCACAAGCAGUGGAGUAUGUGGUUUAAUUCGACGCAACGCGAAGAACCUUACCAAGUCUUGACAUCCUGCGACGCACAUAGAAAUAUGUGUUUCCUUCGGGACGCAGAGACAGGUGGUGCAUGGUUGUCGUCAGCUCGUGUCGUGAGAUGUUGGGUUAAGUCCCGCAACGAGCGCAACCCUUACUGUCAGUUACUACGCAAGAGGACUCUGGCAGGACUGCCGUUGACAAAACGGAGGAAGGUGGGGAUGACGUCAAAUCAUCAUGCCCUUUAUGACUUGGGCUACACACGUACUACAAUGGCGUUAAACAAAGAGAAGCAAGACCGCGAGGUGGAGCAAAACUCAGAAACAACGUCCCAGUUCGGACUGCAGGCUGCAACUCGCCUGCACGAAGUCGGAAUUGCUAGUAAUCGUGGAUCAGCAUGCCACGGUGAAUACGUUCCCGGGCCUU
rnacentral:rRNA from 1 species